AUAUUGUACAAAAUUCCCUGCCUCACGCAUGCGCGAGUCGAACUUGUCCAGACUUGUCUGGUGCAUGCGCAAAAAGUUUUCAGUUCGGCAGCAUCCAGCAUAGUAGUUUUAUACGGAGUUUCCCUGGCUUCAUUCCUUUAAAGUCUGUUUUUUCCUUUGUGUGGUAUUGCUGUGCGUUAAUAACUCCAAACCACAUUUGUGCAUAUUCACGCAAAUAAACAUUAAAACUGGACAUGUUCACUCUGGAGUAGCUGCAGUUCUUUCUAACCGGAGAAAUAGGCCAGCUGAGUUCCAACCAUCCAACUGCGCACAGAAUAUCCCAUAAAUUGGUCCUUCGAGCCGGAUUGGGACAUCAGCUGCGCUAUGGCUACAUCCAGAGAUUACUAUGAGGGAGAACAAGUACCAGAUCCUCGUCCAAGUCGUACCCGGCGGGUACCCACCUACUUGGAGGAUUAUGUGCUUGAUUAUCCACCUCUGAGGCAUGCUCAUCCAUCACCAGCAGAUGGCACUCAAGGAAUACCUAAUGUAAGCCAGGACCCUUAUAAGGGCUAUAUUACUCCUCCUCCCUGGGACAGAGACUUUGAAGGUGAAAACCUGCACCACUUGGAGGCACGGUGGAGAGAUUUAAGCAGUGAGAUGAGAGAGCUUCAGAUCAGAAUGGACAGUGCUAGACAAACAUCCUUCACAUCUAGAUCUCCUGUUUAUGCACACUAUAAGAGCAUUCCUCACACUGAACUCAGUAACACGGGAUUACAACCUACUGUGACUGUAGCGUCAUCCCCACACUAUGAGGAAACACUCUAUCAUGAGCCCCUUAUGCAGCAGCGCUCACAAUCAAGCAUGCAGCCAAGUAAUAUAGCUCGUGUAGCUUCUCUGCCAGGGCCAAACCCUCAAAGACUGCUUUCUGAACUCCGACGGUCAGACUCAUGGCCCCCUACAGCUGCUCAGCCUGCCCAUCCACAGGUACAGCAUCAGCCAAGCCUGGUACAGCCUGCGCCAGUCCGCAUGCAGACACCUUAUCAGUCAGCUGUUGUACCGCCUGCGCAUUCUCAUGUGCAGCCCCAACGUCAGAUGGUUGCAGCACAAUCUGUUCCAGCCUCACUGCCGCCACAGUACCAGCAGACAGGGCCAGCUCCAGUUCAGCCUGUGCCAGUUCAACCAACAAUGCAUCCGCAUCACCCUUUUCAACCACCACCUCCUCCUUCUCGGCCUGGACCACAGUCACAACAUUAUUAUCCUACAAACACUGUGACGCCUGGACUGAUGGAGAUGGUCAUUGCUUCCUCCUAUGGCAUACCCAAACCAAGGCUGGCAGUAUUCUCCUCAGGCAAAGAGAGUGAUUUCCUGAUGCUUAAGAAAGGGUUGGAUAGCGUCCUUGGCCCACACAGACAUUUAACAGAGGACUAUAAGUAUCAAGUGCUUUUGGAUCAUCUACAACUGCCUGCUGCUUACCAGGUAGCUAAGAGGUAUGUCAACAGCCCAUAUCCUUACACCAGUGCCAUGCAGGCCCUUGAACAGAGAUACGGUCAACCAAGACAGUUAAUUCAGAGCGAGCUUAGAGCAAUCCUUAAUGCUCCAGCUAUUCGACCAGGUGAUGCACAGGGAUUUGAGGACUUUGCAGCAGCUGUUAACACACUGGUGGGCAUGUUGAACACAAUGGAAGGGCCAUCUAGAUACGAACUGCAGUGUGGUUCCCACGUUGACACUCUACUGACCAAACUGCCUGUCAGUUACAGAGACUCCUUCAUAGAAUACUGUCUCAACCAGCACAUCAUCGUGAGUGGCAGUUCUAGAACUUAUACAUUGCCAGAAUUUGCUGAGUGGCUGGAAAGGAAGUCCCAGGCCAUUCAGAUAUCUCGACGGGUAACAUGGCCAAUGCAACCAGAACCCUUUCGGCGAGAACAGAAAUUCCUUCCUCACUCUAAAGCCAAGUCAGCCACAAUUCUCACAGGCAGUGAACAACCUCAAGCCAUCAAUUUGCCCUCUAGCUCAUCCACAGGCUCUAAAAUGGCAGCUACAGCUAGAAAGCAGGAUCGCUUUAAGCCCCUUUUGUCCCUUCUGCAACAACCAUGAACAUUACCUCAAUGCUUGUGCAGCUUUUUGCAGGUUGAACCACACUCAAAGAGGAAGCUGGGUAAAGGACCACAAUAAAUGCUGGAGGUGUGGACGAGGUCACAAACCAGACAGCUGUACUC
ensembl:lncRNA